CCCUAUGGGGUGCAGCAGUCGCGAAAACUCCGCAAUGCGCGAAAGCGUGACGGGGCUACCCCGAGUGCCGUCCGCUGAGGAUGGCUUUUCCCCGGUGUAAUGAGCCGGGAGAAUAAGGAGAGGGCAAGACUGGUGUCAGCCGCCGCGGUAAUACCAGCUCUCCGAGUGGUAGGGACGAUUAUUGGGCUUAAAGCGUCCGUAGCCGGCUUAGCAAGUCUCCUGUUAAAUUCAGCGACUCAAUCGUUGAGCCGCGGGAGAUACUACUAGGCUAGGAGGCGGGAGAGGUCGACGGUAUUCCCGGGGGAGGGGUGAAAUCCUAUAAUCCCGGGAGGACCACCAGUGGCGAAGGCUGUCGGCUAGAACGCGCUCGACGGUGAGGGACGAAAGCUGGGGGAGCGAACCGGAUUAGAUACCCGGGUAGUCCCAGCUGUAAACGAUGCGGGCUAGGUGUUGAGGUGGCUACGAGCCACUUCAGUGCCGCAGGGAAGCCAUUAAGCCCGCCGCCUGGGGAGUACGGCCGCAAGGCUGAAACUUAAAGGAAUUGGCGGGGGGGCACCACAAGGCGUGAAGCUUGCGGUUCAAUUGGAGUCAACGCCGGGAACCUUACCGGGGGCGACAGCAGGAUGAAGGCCAGAUUGAAGGUCUUGCUGGACAAGCUGAGAAGUGGUGCAUGGGCC
rnacentral:rRNA from 1 species